rnacentral:rRNA from 1 species
UACGGAAGGUCCGGGCGUUAUCCGGAUUUAUUGGGUUUAAAGGGAGCGCAGGCGGGAGGCUAAGCGUGACGUGAAAUGUGCCGGCUCAACCGGCGAGCUGCGUCGCGAACUGGUUUCCUUGAGUGGGUUCGACGUAGGCGGAAUUCGUGGUGUAGCGGUGAAAUGCUUAGAUAUCACGAAGAACCCCGAUUGCGAAGGCAGCCUACGAGGCCUUUACUGACGCUAAUGCUCGAAGGUGCGGGUAU